CCGUGCUAGGCGGGGAGCCAGCGGUGCCCUGUACCUGCAAUCCGCUUUAGCAGGGUUUAAUUCCGGCUUUGAGGCCUUCGUCUGGUAGGACUGCCCGAGUUAAGUGGCGUUGAAGGCCUGGUCCUACGCGGCAGAGCUCUAUGAACCCCGUCAGGUCCGAAAGGAAGCAGCGGUAAAUAGUUGUCUCUGGGUGCCGUAGGGUCGCCGGGCUGGAGCCGGCUGGCCCGGGUAAGCUGUUAGGCAAGGUCGAAGAGUCGGUGCACGG
rnacentral:SRP_RNA from 1 species